rnacentral:tRNA from 1 species
GCCUGGGUGGCUCAAUCGGUUGAGCGUCUGACUUCAGCUCAGGUCAUGAUCUCAUGGCUUGCAGGUUCAAGCCCCAUGUCAGGCU